GACGAACCACACAACCGUUAUUCGGAAUUACUGGGCUUAAAGGGUGCGCAGGCGGUUAUAUAAGACAGAUGUGAAAUCCCCGGGCUCAACCUGGGAACUGCGUUUGUGACUGUAUGACUAGAGUACGGUAGAGAGGGGUGGAAUUCCUGGUGUAGCAGUGAAAUGCGUAGAUAUCAGGAGGAACAUCGAUGGCGAAGGCAGCCCCUUGGACCUGUACUGACGCUCAUGCACGAAAGCGUGGGGAGCGAACAGG
rnacentral:rRNA from 1 species